rnacentral:misc_RNA from 1 species
AACGCACAUUGCGCCUCCCGGCAUUCCGGGAGGCAUGCCUGUCCGAGCACCAACACGAAAUUCAGUCAGGCCGCCAAGUGGCCUGGUGGUGGGGGAUGGGGCGGCGUGCCUUCGGGCUCGCUCCCACCCCUGAAAGCAAAUGGUGGAAUGGACCGAGUGCCCCGGCGUGAUAACAACGUUUCGCUAGGCGUCUCAGUCGCACUCCCCCCGCAAAAGCGAGAGACAAAGCUUCGAUCUCGGAUCAGGUAGGGAUACCCGCUGAACUUAA